rnacentral:rRNA from 1 species
UUGUUGCCUCGGCGGAUCAGCCCGCUCCCGGUAAAACGGGACGGCCCGCCAGAGGACCCCUAAACUCUGUUUCUAUAUGUAACUUCUGAGUAAAACCAUAAAUAAAUCAAAACUUUCAACAACGGAUCUCUUGGUUCUGGCAUCGAUGAAGAACGCAGCAAAAUGCGAUAAGUAAUGUGAAUUGCAGAAUUCAGUGAAUCAUCGAAUCUUUGAACGCACAUUGCGCCCGCCAGUAUUCUGGCGGGCAUGCCUGUUCGAGCGUCAUUUCAACCCUCAAGCCCAGCUUGGUGUUGGGACUCGCGAGUUAAAUCGCGUUCCCCAAAUUGAUUGGCGGUCACGUCGAGCUUCCAUAGCGUAGUAGUAAAACCCUCGUUACUGGUAAUCGUCGCGGCCACGCCGUUAAACCCCAACUUCUGAAUGUUGACCUCGGAUCAGGUAGGAAUACCCGCUGAACUUAAGCAUAU